GCUAAAACCUUUCGCUCUACAACAUGUCUCUAGAGGGUUGUGGCCAAUGGCAACGUAUGACAAACUGACCUGAUUCUUCCUGCAUAUAAUAUCGACUGGCCAACAUGGUCACCAAAUUCCAUAGACAUUUUUUUUAAUCUGCUAAGAAAAAUGAUUAGGUAUUUUUUUUCUGCCACUGUAUCCAUUAAUUAAAGACAAGAAGACGAAUGUCCUGGCUUCAUAUGGUAUGAGUUCCUCUGCUGUGCAAAGCUGGCUCCUCCUGAUCACAGUGCUGACUCAUAGUUGGAAGAUCAUGUGGGUUUGGAGACAAAGCCCAUGAAGAAGAUUCAGGGAAAAGAGCCUAUUCCAGUGAAGAUGCAAGCAACAGAAAUCAGAUAAGAGGACAACUGACCGAGCUAUUAUAAAGCUCUCUAUGGGAUGGGACCUUACCAUCAAUCGUCAGUCAAGACACUCCCUCACCUACAUGGCCACAAGCCAAUCUGACCUUGGCAGUUCCUCAGCUGAGGUUACUUCU